rnacentral:tRNA from 1 species
GGGGCUAUAGCUCAGCUGGCUAGAGCGCUUGCAUGGCAUGCAAGAGGCCAAGGGUUCAAGUCCCUUUAGCUCCACCA